GCAUUAAUGGGGUAGUGGUAACCUGGGUCGUUGCCAUCAGAUCAUAGUAUCGACCCGCCGGGGGUUCGAUUCCCCCUUAAUGCA